rnacentral:misc_RNA from 1 species
GUGAACUUUGGAAAGUCGGCUUGUGGGGACUGUGCUGGCGCUCUGCGCAUGUGCACGUCCUCCUGGUCGCACACCAAUCCAUCACACCUGUGCACCUUUGGCUCCGAAUCUCGUCCUCCAGGGGACAGCCGACCGAGAGGUCUGGGAUGAAGGGGUUCCAAUUUUUACCACACUCUUUUGUACAAGCAUGAAGAACGAUACCUGUGCUCCGGCACUAAAAAGCAAAAA